rnacentral:lncRNA from 1 species
AAGCCCACAGGCAAUGCCCCCAUAAUGAAGAAAAAGAAGUGGACAGUGGAAAGCGACAAGCCAGUGGGGUGGAUUAUCGAGUUUGUAAAAAAGUACCUCAAGCUGGACUCUAAUGAGAAACUGUUUGUUUAUGUGAACCAAACUUUCGCUCCUGCUCCAGACCAGACUGUGAAGAACCUUUACGAGUGCUACAAUGCGGACAACAAACUAGUUCUCCACUACUGCACUACACAGGCUUGGGGCUAAUUCACAGCCAGAAUGAUAUUGUACAUACUUUUACUCUUAUAUCCUUAAUAGUUCACUUGCCGCAUUUACCAUUAGAAAACUUCAACGCCA